ACAGUGGACGCGAGCAUCUGUGGCCAAGUUUUUAAGGGCGCACGGUGGAUGCCUUGGCACCAGGAACCGAUGAAGGACGUGGGAGGCCACGAUAGUCCCCGGGGAGUCGUCAACCAGGCUUUGAUCCGGGGGUUUCCGAAUGGGGAAACCCGGCAGUCGUCAUGGGCUGUCACCCGCUGCUGAACUCAUAGGCAGUGUGGAGGGAACGCGGGGAAGUGAAACAUCUCAGUACCCGCAGGAAGAGAAAACAACCGUGAUUCCGGGAGUAGUGGCGAGCGAAACUGGAUGAGGCCAAACCGUAUGUGUGUGAUACCCGGCAGGGGUUGCGCAUGCGGGGUUGUGGGAUCUCUCUUCCACGGUCUGCCGGCCGUGGGACGAGUCAGAAACCGUUGAUGUAGGCGAAGGACAUGCGAAAGGUCCGGCGUAGAGGGUAAGACCCCCGUAGUCGAAACAUUAGCGGCUCGUUUGAGAGACACCCAAGUAGCACGGGGCCCGAGAAAUCCCGUGUGAAUCUGGCGGGACCACCCGCUAAGCCUAAAUAUUCCCUGGUGACCGAUAGCGGAUAGUACCGUGAGGGAAUGGUGAAAAGUACCGCGGGAGCGGAGUGAAAUAGUACCUGAAACCGUGUGCCUACAAGCCGUGGGAGCGUCGCGCAUCGAGCUUGCUCGGUGCGUCGUGACUGCGUGCCUUUUGAAGAAUGAGCCUGCGAGUUAGCGGUGUGUAGCGAGGUUAACCCGUGUGGGGAAGCCGUAGCGAAAGCGAGUCCGAAGAGGGCGUUUGAGUUGCACGCUCUAGACCCGAAGCGGAGUGAUCUAGCCAUGGGCAGGUUGAAGCGGCUGUAAGAGGUCGUGGAGGACCGAACCCACCAGGGUUGAAAACCUGGGGGAUGACCUGUGGUUAGGGGUGAAAGGCCAAUCAAACUCCGUGAUAGCUGGUUCUCCCCGAAAUGCAUUUAGGUGCAGCGUCGUGUGUUUCUUGCCGGAGGUAGAGCACUGGAUAGGCGAUGGGCCCUACCGGGUUACUGACCUUAGCCAAACUCCGAAUGCCGGUAAGUGAGAGCGCGGCAGUGAGACUGUGGGGGAUAAGCUCCAUGGUCGAGAGGGAAACAGCCCAGAGCAUCGACUAAGGCCCCUAAGCGUACGCUAAGUGGGAAAGGAUGUGGAGUCGCAGAGACAACCAGGAGGUUGGCUUAGAAGCAGCCACCCUUGAAAGAGUGCGUAAUAGCUCACUGGUCUAGUGAUUCCGCGCCGACAAUGUAGCGGGGCUCAAGCGUACCGCCGAAGUCGUGUCAUUGCAGCAUGAGGGCCAACGCCCGCUGUGAUGGGUAGGGGAGCGUCGUGUGCCGGGUGAAGCAGCCGUGGAAGCGAGUUGUGGACGGUUCACGAGUGAGAAUGCAGGCAUGAGUAGCGAUUCACACGUGAGAAACGUGUGCGCCGAUUGACUAAGGGUUCCUGGGUCAAGCUGAUCUGCCCAGGGUAAGUCGGGACCUAAGGCGAGGCCGCCAGGCGUAGUCGAUGGAUAACCGGUCGAUAUUCCGGUACCCGCUGUGAAGCGUCAAACAUUGAAUCCAGUGAUGCUAAGCCCGUGAAGCCGUUCCGGACCCUUCGGGGAAUGGAAAGUGGUGGAGCCGGUGGCCCGAGCUGGUAGUAGGUGAGUGAUGGGGUGACGCAGGAAGGUAGUCCAUCCCGGGCGGUGGUUGUCCCGGGGUAAGGGUGUAGGCCGUGCGAUAGGUAAAUCCGUCGUACAUGUGGCUGAGACCUGAUGCCGAGCCGAUUGUGGUGAAGUGGAUGAUCCUAUGCUGUCGAGAAAAGCCUCUAGCGAGUUUCAUGGCGGCCCGUACCCUAAACCGACUCAGGUGGUCAGGUAGAGAAUACCGAGGCGUUCGGGUGAACUAUGGUUAAGGAACUCGGCAAAAUGCCCCCGUAACUUCGGGAGAAGGGGGGCCAUGUCUGGUGAUCCGAUUUACUCGGUGAGCUGGGUGUGGCCGCAGAGACCAGCGAGAAGCGACUGUUUACUAAAAACACAGGUCCGUGCGAAG
rnacentral:rRNA from 1 species